rnacentral:lncRNA from 1 species
GCACCUUUCCUCAGUAGAUCUGACAAAGGCAAUAUCAUUAUCUAUAUUUUACAUAUAGGGAAACUGGGGCACGGAGCUGAAAUGAGUUGCCAAAGGUCACCCAGCAGGCCAGUGGCAGAACCAGGAAUAAAACCGAGGUCUCCUGAAUCCCAGUCCAGUGCUUUACCCAGUAGACAACACUGCCUGAAACCUGUUUUUAUGCCGAUUUCCCUGCAGACCCCGGGCAGUGGGGGCAUUUGGGUACCAGCCAGUGGUGAGUCUCCCUCACAAGACUGCCAGUUCUGGUGAACUGGGCAACAGUUGACACCAGUGGCCUGGGUUGUCUGGGGGCCUGUGUGAGCCUGAAGCCUUCUGCUUUCACCUGCCCUGUGCCUCUAGCUCCUACUGUUCAUCCGCAAGGCAGCCUGCUUCACAACUGAGGUCAGUGUCAUAGAAUAUCAGGGUUGGAAGGGACCUCAGGAGGUAUCUAGUCCACCCCCCUGCUCAAAGCAGGAUCCAUCCCCAGGCAGAUUUUUGCCCCAGAUCCCUAAAUGGCCCCCUCAAGGAUUGAACUCACAACCCUGGGUUUAGGAGGCCAAUGCUCAAACCACUGAGCUAUCCCUCCCCCAUCAUUCCCAUUCCACAGAGGGGGAAACUGAGGCACAGGCGGGCGUGCA